CCCUUAGAUGUUCUGGGCCGCACGCGCGCUACACUGACUACUUCAACGAGUUGUUUCCUUGGCCGACAGGCUCGGGCAAUCUUUGAACGCUGGUCGUGAUGGGGAUAGACUUUUGCAAUUUUUGGUCUUCAACGAGGAAUUCCUAGUAAACGCAAGUCAUCAACUUGCAUUGAUUACGUCCCUGCCCUUUGUACACACCGCCCGUCGCACCUACCGAUUGAAUGGUCCGGUGAAGCCUCCGGAUUGGCGCGCACCUCGGUGCCGCCGAGAAGUUGGCUAAACCUUACCAUUUAGAGGAAGGUGAAGUCGUAACA
rnacentral:rRNA from 1 species